GAUGAACGCUGGCGGCGUGCCUAAUACAUGCAAGUCGAGCGAACGGACGAGAAGCUUGCUUCUCUGACGUUAGCGGCGGACGGGUGAGUAACACGUGGAUAACCUACCUAUAAGACUGGGAUAACUUCGGGAAACCGUAGCUAAUACCGGAUAAUAUAUUGAACCGCAUGGUUCAAUAGUGAAAGACGGUCUUGCUGUCACUUAUAGAUGGAUCCGCGCUGCAUUAGCUAGUUGGUAAGGUAACGGCUUACCAAGGCAACGAUGCAUAGCCGACCUGAGAGGGUGAUCGGCCACACUGGAACUGAGACACGGUCCAGACUCCUACGGGAGGCAGCAGUAGGGAAUCUUCCGCAAUGGGCGAAAGCCUGGCGGAGCAACGCCGCGUGAGUGAUGAAGGUCUUCGGAUCGUAAAACUCUGUUAUUAGGGAAGAACAUAUGUGUAAGUAACUGUACACAUCUUGACGGUACCUAAUCAGAAAGCCACGGCUAACUACGUG
rnacentral:rRNA from 1 species